rnacentral:lncRNA from 1 species
GAAGCGAAAUUGCCCCUCCACGUGCGAGGCUUCCCGGCAAUUACUCCUAGCGAUACAACGACCACGUUCCACCUCAUCGGCACGCUUCUAAAGUGGCGCAAGACGAACCCAACCAGUUUCAGAUCCAGCAAAAGAAAACUCGGCGAAAAUCCAAAAAGUAGAAAAAAACGAGAAGCUUUAGGUAUGCUCGGGUUAUUUAUUAACUCGUGUAACCUCGCCCCAUAUUUAUAAUCUAGGCGAGAAUCUUGCUUCAACGCGUCAAAUCCGUGUAUAACAAGAUAAGCCUAAGAUUCUACGGAUAAAGAUAAGGAUUAGGAUUAGUAAAAAGAUAAGUAUUAAAAUAAAGAUAAAACCGACAAAAUAAAAUAAACCGGGUGUAUGGCCCGCGCGCGCUGCAGCCCGCCCGGCCCGGCCUGGCUCGGCUCGUGCCGUGCGUGUGUGUAUUUAAACGAGAGCAUUACUCUCAUUUUCUUCCAAGCAACUAGCUUGAGAAUAAAGCAGUAUAUAAAAACCACAAACACCCUUUUGGUUUCCAAUGUGGGACUAAACAUCUCACAUGAAAAUUUUAGUUGGGCUCCCCAAGCGGUCCAUUAAUAAUUAUUGGGCUCUCAAGAGGCUUUAAUAAGUUUUAAAUCAUAACAAACCCAAUAAAAUCCAAUAGUCUGAGAAUCAUAACUUUCUAAUUGUGGCUACAAACUAUUUUACA